UACAGAGGGCGCGAGCGUUGUCCGGAAUCACUGGGCGUAAAGCGUCCGCAGGUGGCAAUGUAAGUCUGCUGUCAAAGCGUCUGGCUCAACCAGAUAAAGGCAGUGGAAACUACAUAGCUAGAGUAAGGUAGGGGUAGAGGGAAUUCCCAGUGUAGCGGUGAAAUGCGUAGAUAUUGGGAAGAACAUCAGUGGCGAAAGCGCUCUACUGGACCUUAUCUGACAUUGAGGGACGAAAGCUAGGGGAGCGAAUGGG
rnacentral:rRNA from 1 species